UACGUAGGGGGCAAGCGUUGUCCGGAAUCAUUGGGCGUAAAGCGCGCGCAGGCGGUCUUCCAAGUCGCGUGUGAAAGCCCCCGGCUCAACUGGGGAGGGUCACGCGAUACUGAUCGACUCGAAGGCAGGAGAGGGUAGUGGAAUUCCCGGUGUAGUGGUGAAAUGCGUAGAUAUCGGGAGGAACACCAGUGGCGAAGGCGACUACCUGGCCUGUUCUUGACGCUGAGGCGCGAAAGCUAGGGGAGCAAACGGG
rnacentral:rRNA from 1 species